GAAAAACUACCCUCCAUACUUGAAUGAUGAUAUAUGGCAUUUGGAGAAAAUUGCAAAGGAUGGAAAAAUCCACAAGUGGCUCUCUUCCCAUGGAAUUCACACUGUUAAGGAUCUCCUACAGCUAUACACAACCGAACCAUCUUCAUUAUAUGUGGCGGAGAGAAAGCACAGAUGUUGAAGACUUGUUUAUAGCUCACAUUGUUGGAAUGGACACAAUAGCUCAUGGAUUCAAGAAUGCUGCUAAGUUAAUUGAG